AACAAUGCAUCAUAAAACCUCCAGAAGGAAAGGAGAAUGUUUUGUGGGUCAUUUACUUGUGUGCGUGUGGCAGUUUUAAGUUAUUAGUUUUUAAAAUCAGUACUUUUUAGUGGAAGCAACUUGACCAAAAAUCUGUCACAGAAUUUUGAGAGCCAUGAAAACAAAAGUUUAAUGAGAAAAAA